GGCAACUUGCCCCCAAAGGGGGUGUGCUUCAUUGGAAAAAAUAGUAUCGUUGGUCAUUGCACCUAUUUUUGUAGGUAUCGUUAUCAAACUUUUUUCUCACUGGUUAGAUGAGAAAGACAAUGACUAAAAGCAAGUUGCUUCUAGCCCACUCAUUCGUAGUCGCAACGAAUGAAAAA
rfam:Enterococcus ratti strain DSM 15687 Scaffold2, whole genome shotgun sequence.